GGGCCAGUGGCGCAAUGGAUAGCGUGUCUGAUUACGGAUCAGAAGAUUCCAGGUUAGACUCCUGGCUGGCUCG
rnacentral:tRNA from 1 species